CUAGCUUACGUGGAGGCGCUGGUGGGAUACUACCCUAGCUGUGUUGGCUUUCUAACCCGCACCACUUAUCGUGGUGGGAGACAGUGUCAGGCGGGCAGUUUGACUGGGGCGGUCGCCUCCUAAAAGGUAACGGAGGCGCUCAAAGGUUCCCUCAGAAUGGUUGGAAAUCAUUCAUAGAGUGUAAAGGCAUAAGGGAGCUUGACUGCGAGACCUACAAGUCGAGCAGGGUCGAAAGACGGACUUAGUGAUCCGGUGGUUCCGCAUGGAAGGGCCA
rnacentral:rRNA from 1 species